AGAGCCUUUGCUUCCUGCAGGUUUCUGAGCCGCACCACCACGCAUGGUCGCUAAAUGAGCCGACAAAUAGCUCAGGCUGUGGCAGGGGCUUUCACAUACCUGUGCACCGUCUCACCUGACAGGGACCAGCAUCUCAGCUAGAAAUGCUACUUGCUAGAAAGGUAUACAAAUUAAAGCUUUGCUUUCCUCUCUAAGAGAAAGUCCCAGUCCUGCUUUAGCAAAGCAUGGGACAGCUUUAGCACUGACUUUGCCAGCGCAACAGCCCAGCAAGCGACAGAGAAAAGCCCCUGGCAGCUGCUUGAGGAUAACUCUGUCCUCGUGCGUAGUCUCGCCGAGGCAGGGAAGCAGCCAGCAGGGAAAUCCCCUCUCCGCGAUAGGGAUUGGUGACUAAGCGCCGCGCCGCACACCUGGGCGGCAGUCAGGGACGCAGCCGGCGUCCCCCUCACAGGUACCGAGCAGAGGGGCCGCCCCUACGGGCCGGGCUGCGAGGAGGCGGCGCACGACGGCGGCAGAACAUCAGUUGCCAAAGGCAGUGCUAUUGGGCAUUUUGUAUGCAGGUGAUGCUGCUCACCUACAUUGCCUUGCCAUCUCCCCAUCCUGCCAGAGGGGCUUGGAAGGGAAGACCUCUAAGUGUCUGGAGUUGGCUGCUUUAAGACUUCAUGAGCAUUAACUUGGCAGCCUUCUUCCAAGAUUACGCUUGGAACUGUGUCUUCUGACAAGUGGUAGACCUUGAGAAAUGGAGGUUUGAUAGCUGCAGAGGAUCGUUGAUUGCGAUUUCCUCUAAGUUGCAACACCGAAAACAAUGGCGAACGAAUAUAUUAAAAACUGCUGUAAAUGGUGUUUUUAUGUGGAAAAAGAAAAAAGCAAUUCAGUUUCCAUGGCGCAGGAAUCUGAAGCUGUACCCGCAAGCAAGCCAACUAUUGUACAGCAGCCUCCAUUGUCUUCAGUGUCAGUGAAGCGGCAAGUUGGCUGUUCUGAGGAUUAUCUGCUUUCUAAACUGCCCCUGGACGGGCAGGAGGUACCGUUUGUGGUCCCGCCAUUCAAACUGGCUUACGUACAGCCAAAAAGCCUUCCUAGUACCUCACAUGCUGGAGGAAUUCAAGAAUCUGCCAGAGCUUCUUUUGGUGACCGGAAAGCAGAACUGUGCGGUGUGUACCAGUGGCCCCGCUAUGAUGUGUACAACCCAUUCUAUUUGGAACAUCAUGUUUCACCAGACCAGAUUAGGCGUUUCCAAGCCAAAUCAGAUAAUAGGAAAUUAUAUGGAUCAGUUAGUGAUUUAAGAACUAGUGCUUCGCCUGGAUCGCUUGAUUUAAGUCAUUCAAUGUUUGAUCUCAGAAGCCCACCUCAUCGAUUCAUGAAGAGAUACGAUUCAGUCUCCAGUGUACCUAGCAGCACCUCCUCCAGAAAGGAUUCACAUGGCAGUAACAGGAGUCUGGAUACCAUUACGUUAUCAGGUGAUGAACGAGACUUUGGAAGACUGAAUGUAAAGCUGUGCUACGUUCCUUCUGUGGAGCAGAUCUGGAUCACAGUUUUGCAUUGCAAAGGGCUGAGCUGGCCUUCUGGUUGUGGGGAAAAUCCUCAAAUCUAUGUCAAGGGAAUUCUCAUGCUGCCCAAGCCUGUGCAGUUCAAAUCCUCUGCAAAGGAAGGCUGCAAUGACAUUGAAUUUAUGGAAACUUUUGUAUUUGCUAUUAAGUUGCAAAGUGUUCAAACUGUCAGACUGGUAUUUAAAAUCCAGACGCAGACUCCUAGGAAAAGAACGAUUGGAGAGUGCUCUUUGUCACUGCGGGAGCUCAGCGCAGAGGAGUCAAAUCAUUGGCUGGAUAUAUCUCCUCCUUCCAAAGCACCUGUGUGCCGCACAGAACUUCAAAUAGGAAGUUGUUUUCAAGCAAUAAACAGGAGGAUUCAGUUACAAAUUCUUGAAGCACAAAAUCUUCCAAUUUCAUCUACGCCGCUGUCUUUAAGUUUCUUUGUGAAAGUUGGAAUGUUUAGUACAGAAGGGCUGAUCUAUAAGAAGAAGACUCGGCUUGUCAAGUCCACUAAUGGCCAAGUGAAGUGGAAAGAAAUGAUGAUUUUUCCAGUUAGCCAAGCUGAACAAGGAAUCAGUUUUCUUAUCAAACUCUACAGCAGAAGCUCAGUGAGAAGAAAGCACUUUCUAGGACAGGUUGGUUUCUGCUAACUAACAUGAUAGUCUUGAUAUUCUUAAAUCCAGUUGCAGGGUUGGUUUUUUUGGUUUUUGUUUUUUUUUUAAACUCAUAUUAAAAAAUACUUUAAGGUGCUGUAUAGGGAAAUAGUGAAAUUGAAUAAACUUCUUGAUAUAACUCAAGAAAAAAUGGUAGUGGGCUCUUGAACAUCACAAGCAUCAGAAUGGAAGUUGACAUUUGAUUUUCCUUCACAAAGGAAGUCCUUAAGUCUUUUUUGUGUGGAAAGUUAUUACAUGAAAGAUUCCUCCUUAUGAACAGAUGAAUGAUGUUGUCCUUGCCUCUAGGCUUUCUAAAGAAAACAAACACAGCAUUCACAGCAGCUCCAUGACCUACAGUGUCCUCCACAGAAAGAGGAUGUGUGUAGGAAAAAAUACAACAGCAACAGCAGCAGAUUUCUCUUCUGAGCAAGACAGACACGUAGUCAGCACAGUAUUCUGAAAGUGUACAAUCAAGUUAUAAUGUGAACAGACAGAAAACGAUUUUUUAGCUGAAUGGGGUUUUUUUGUUUUAUUUUAACAGCUGGAACCUCUGUAGUAUGUAUUCAAAAGCAUUUCUGUGAUCAUACUUAUUUAAUCACUGUACUUCAUAAAACUUGGUAUUCUGGUCUCUUUUUAUUCUCCCUGUCCUCAUAUUCUCUCUCUUACCAUCAGCCUGCCUGUUCUUUCUCUACUUUUAUUUCUCAGCUGUUCCAACUGCUCAGUGCAUUCUCUGAUCAGAUAGAUGUACUAAGAGAAUUUUAAUAUAUAUAUAAAUUAAUAAUGUGGAGUGAUUUUUGAAGUUCCAACUGUAAAGUCAUUUGCUAACUGAAGGAUGGAUUACUCUGUCCUUGGGUACAGAAAAUGGUAGUUUCCUGUUCUGGCAAUGUAUUUUGUGCAUGCUGGGCACAUGUACUUUAGGAGAUGCUGAUCUGCUACAGAAAUGAGUUAUGCGAUCUUCCUCCAUUUUAUUGAGGAUAAUGUCCUAUGUAUUCCAUCUUUCUGUGUUUCCUAUUAGUAGAAUUAGAUUUGGAAUGGGAAAAGAAACUGGUUUUUUUUAGUUGUAAUACCUUGGGGCAAAACUAAUUAAGUAUGAUUUUGCAGUCAGUUAACAGUAUGUGAGGUCAUCUCAAUCUGAUGAGUUGCAUUUAAUCAUGGAUCUUAUUUUUACAGGGAGCAAAUGAUCUACUUCUGCUCUUCAGUUAUUUGGAAAAGGUUGUUUCAGCUCAUGCAGGCAGACAUUGCCACAUACACAUGAAGACAUAAAAUAUGGCUCAGGGAAAAGCGUACAUUGAGCAAUUGGCUGGGUGGCUGGAAAAAGAUGAAUAUGGCUAGAUCUAUUAACUGCUUUCUUCAGAGAAUGGUGAUUAAUUGGAUGCUGUUCUAAAGCAGACAACACUUUGAUUAGGUUGCAUUUAUGAGCAUGUCUUUAAUCAUGACCAAGAUGUAUAUUGAUUCUCUGUGGAUGAAAUAUCGGCUGCCCGUGGUAUUCUGGAAGACAUUAUUCUCACUUAAGGAAUCAUGUCUCAACAGUGUGGGCUAAACGUACUUCAUGGUGAAGGUUUCUGAGAAGUAUUAAAAGGGCUCAUUCUUGGAAGAGUGCAGGAAAUGGAGUCCCAUAAAUGAUGAUACCUACUUACAUAAUCAGAAUUCUUUUUGGCAGUCGAAGCUGGUGAUAAUUUUUAAGGGGAAACUUCCUUCUUGUACCUUAUUUCCUUCUUUAAUGGCUUCUAUCCAUUAGUUUAAUAUUGUGAAGAGAUGGACUCUUACUGCGUGACUGUGUGUGCUACAGGCACGUUAGUAACCUCUGUGGAAUGCAGGUUUGGCCCUGUCUGUUGGAGUGUGUGAUUUUAAAUGCUCAUGAAAAGGCUGGACAGCUAAAUCUGGGUGCCAGAUGGCUUGCAGCCAGCUGGAGUUUGACUGCAUGGUCCAGAGAGUCAUCGCUGCCCUCAUGGGCCCUUGACCCCAGCACAUGAAUUUGAAUGAAGCAAGGAAUGCUUGACCUAAAACAUUUUGUUAACUAGCAAAACAUUAGAGUGUAGUGAGCUUUCUAAACUCCUAUUUGUUUAGAGACUAAAUAUAAACCCAGACUCCCUGUGUUCCCAGUUGGAAGCCAAGUUAUGUUAGUCCUGACAGAACUGUAUUUGUUGUUAAUGCUUUGGUCACAGUCUACGUGUCGCAUCUCAUUCUACACUCCCAUGGAAUUUAUUUGGAACUAACAUAGGCUGCACUUCUGUGUUACAUCAGAUCUCAAGUUCCUACGAUCCUCAGUAUUUUACAGGAGCGCCAACAAUGCAUGCUUGGAAAAUCAUCUGUCAAACUCUCAAUCCGGCAACCUGCUGGGAUGUAAGAAGUUCUCAACUCCUGGCCUUGCAGAGAAAGGAAAUGCCAUGCUGAGACCGUAGUUAAGAGUUUUGUGCAGAAGACACACGUACAAAUCGCUGCAGAGAAAUCGGUGCUGAGAAAGCCUCGGUUGGAGGAUGGUGUCCAGCUGUGGUCAUCAUCUUUCAAGACAAAGCACAGAGGAAGAAACAAGGUUAUGGACAACAAAACCUGACCUGUAAGAACCGAAAGUCCUGAGUUGUUUAAUCUGGCAAAGAGAAGGCACAGAGAUAAAAUUCUAAUAUGUGAAAGUCUGCUGAAAAAAGACACAGAAGGAUUGUUCUCCGUGUCUACUAGGGAUGAGCUGACAAAGAAGCUUCACCUGGGAAAUACUGCUUCUGUUACUUCAACUGCUAAGUGACACACCAACAUCUCUAUAACAUACCAAAGCAAGAACGUGUUCGGAUGUAACCUUAAGUGCCUUGAAGCCUGACUGUUGUUGAAGAUGAGUGAAAAAGUGUUUUUCUUAACAUACUUAGUUUGCUGGGCUAAAGAAAAAAGAAUUAAAAGCAGUCAGAAAAUGGCAUAUGAGAAGUUUUUAGUGAAAUAAAGCCCUUUUGUCAUUUGGCUUUUAAAUUGUUUUAAGAAAGUUUAGCUUUUCUCAGAAUCAAACCUGACAAGAACUUCACACUGCAAAAUAUAAGGUUAGUACUACCAUAGCUUUCAGCAGUCACAGCAUCUCUAUUCUGUAUUCAGUGCAUUAACUCCUCACUGUUCGUUCUACUCCAUAGGCAUUGCUUUUUAAAAGCUUUCUACUACCUAAGGCAUGAAAAAGAAGCUGAAACAAAGGCUCACUGAAUUCCUCAGUCAUGGGCCUCAGCCAUGGAACAUGUCACGUCACCAUCUGCCCUUGGGCACCCUUUAUUUCAAGGAGUGUGUGCUAGGUCUGCACAGGCUUCCUGUUCAGGUUACCAGCCAGAAAUACAUGCUUACAAAGUACCAUUAGAUUAGUAAGUGAAAAGGUUUAUUAAGUGCUGUUUUCAUCCUAUUUUGGAGGUUCCCUCAGUGAUUUUCACUGUCCAAGCCCUUCUUCAUCCAUUUAGCUGUUAACAGUGACAUUUAAUGAAAUAAGAUAAGAUCCUUCCACUACAAUCAUGUUGGUAUACAACCAGGAUAGAAUUCAUUCCACUCUCUCUCCUGGAAAUGAGCAGGAUGGUACCAAAAUCUGUGGAAAUUAUUUUAGUUCUUUUAUUUUCCUUUUAAGUUUCAUCCCAUAGUAGCAUCGUUUUCUUUCUGACUUAAAAGCAGGAAUCUGAUGCUUCUGUCCAGAGAUGCUGCAAAGAUUUAGUCACAGUGAAGAGCUACACUAAUUAUGGGAACAAAACACCGGCAACAGCAAAAGGAAUUCUCCUUUAUGUAUAAAGCUGUAGUUGCUUUAAACUGAUGAACUGGUGGCUACUUUCAACUUGAAAGUGAUUUGACUUAUUAAAAUGCAAAAGGUAACUGCUUGAAAUAAUAAUAAUAAAAAAAAAGUUCUGCAUUAACAAGAAGUUCUGCAUUAACGAGACACAACCAUGAAGUAAAUUUUAAUAGCACUGCUUUUGAUAGAUCUUCCCUAAAGUUACUGUAACCUCCAGUUGGGAACUGGAGCUUUUUUUGAAAUUAAUCUGUUUACAGAUCAAUCCCAGUCAAUUCACAUUUACAGUAUUGUCUGUAUUUCCAGAUGAAACUGAUUAAGUGUGUUCUGAAUUUCAAAGCCCAUCUGUUACCACUCCUGUUUGUCAGUCUGACACAUGGGCCCCUCUUUGCUGAUUCCCAAACAAGCCCAGGUAUAACAGGACUGGGCCUACCAUGUCUCAUGUUGAUUUUCUGAUUUUAUUAUACUCAAUUAACACAAUGAAAUGUUUUUUUCUUUUAUUGAGCUUCCUGUUGGCAAUGUGACAUUGUCUCAGUGGCAUAUAAUCUUGACUUCUUCUACAGUAUCGUGUGGUGCAAUGCCAACGUUUUGUUUAAAAAGGGUGUGAAAGGAUUUGGCCUAUGAAAAAAAAUGAUGCUAAACAUUAACUGUGACAUCAUUUGAGCACCUGCCUCAUGAAUAACCCCGGAUACUCUCACCGAGUAGAAUAGAAACUUUUCUUUAAUCACUUUCAGUGAGAAUUCUGCCAUAAAACCCCAUGAACCCUUUCUGUCUUUAGUUACCAACUUCUAUGAAAGUUUUGUUCUUGUUUUAUGAAAAAACAACAAAGAAAAAUUUUUUGGCUACUGACUAUAUAAUUACUAGAAAUUGCAUGCUCUGGAUAAAGGCCAACUGUGAUAAUCAUAUUUUGCUUUAGUCAGCUUCUAGUUCAUUUCACAAACUGUUUAAUGCGGUUAUUGAUUUCCUAUCUCCACUUGUGAUGCUGUAUUGUUGAAUUCUCCCACCACCAGUGACUCACUUCUCAGCUUGUCAUGUGGGCUUCCCUCUGAGCGCAUAAAGAAUGAAAAAUCAUGACAGAAACCAUAAACGGAGGUUUAACAGAUGAUAAUGAAUAUGCAGUAAAUAUUGUUUAAAAGUUUUUUAAUUAUUCAGAUGUCUUGGAAUGAGAAUUUAUGUAUGUUAAAAAGCCAAUGGCCAGGAGUGCUUCCAGGUUUUGCAUCUAAAGUAGUGCACAAUAAAUAGAACAGAACUGUAACUUAUUUCAGUAUAUACGGUCAAGUUCUUUCACAACCUUUGUCAGGGAAAAGAGAAAACAAAGUGUUACUCAGCUCCAUUGCUAAUUUUUUGCAAAAAGCUUAGGCCUCAAGGUAAGAUCUCAAUGUAAAAAGCUCUGCCUUUCCAUCAUUACUAUCAUUACCACAAAGGUUUACUUAAAGUACUUCUCUGUGGAUAGCUGAGGAGAAGAACCAGAGUUGCAGCCAAACCUGCAAGUUUGGGGGUUGAAAAUAUUACAUCCCAUUGAAACCACAAAAGCCCCUGCAUUUUAAUGAUGUAACUGAUGGAACUGAAAAAAUAAUACGGAGAGAUUCGGGAAGAAAAUGUUAACUACUUCUCACCACAUUCAAUCACUCGAGAUGGGGUCAGGGAUUUAAAAACAAUUCAAGAAAUGGAGUGAAAAACAUUGUAGUUGAAAGUUUGAUUCUCUUCAUUUCACAGUAAUUCCAAACUUCUGUAGAACUGCCCUCUUUGAAAAUAGCUUCCAACUCCAGGCAUACUAGACAGCAUCGUGAUCAAAAUUAAUGUCAGAUAUAAGACAAAUCUAUCCUGCUCUAACAAUGAGACUGAGGGAGGUGGGCCUCUUCAAGAGUAUCAGAGCCUCACUCUUGAAAUGCUGAGAAGGAGCACCUUUUCAGUGGUGCUAAUGGCCCUUUGAAACCCAUGCAGUUGCUCUUGAAAAGUAACUUCUAAUGCUAUGACAUUCCUAAAGAAAAUACACUCACCAUUUGUAUUAUGAAAUUACAAAAGCAGCAUUAAUUUCAUGUAUGCUCUUGAGAAACUAUUUGUUGUAUACUCAGUUAAUUAUGCAAAGAAAAAAUCAGAAAAAAAAAACAACCUUAUAACUGUGUGUGAGUUUACACACUUGUUUUAUGUGUGCAGAGAUGUAGUUAACUGAAGGGUCUGUGUACAAACCUGGUAGAAGGACUGCAAGACAGCUGUGUACACAGUAGGGGACAGGGAAGAGCAGAGAAGCACAGAAGGUAGCUGGAAGCUGACACAGGCAGCUAAACUGAGCUUGGCUGGACACUUGUGCUACUCUGGCAAUACCAAGUAUUUUUGAAAACUACUUGGUUAUUCAGUGGGCUCUGGCUGCUUUAAGAUGCUCUGGAAUAAAUCAAAAUAAUGUAACUUUUUUUCAUAACUCCCAAGUUACAGUAUGAGAUGGCAGAGGCUAACAUCUUUUUUCAUGCUCAAGCACUGUAUUUGCACUGCCUUCAAUGUGCUGGACUUUCAUUAACCUUAAUUCUGAGUUUCCUAGGUUUAUCAUGGCUAGCUUAGGAAUAAUAAUAUCACUAAAGUCAUCUGGAAAAAAUUGUCUGGAUUUUACACUACGUUAUGAAAUCUAUUUUCAAGUAGUUUUGUCAGAGAAUAUAAUUCCCAGCAUUGGUUGAAAAAGGAAAAUUAGAUUUUUAUUAAAUGCACAUUUUUAAACAAAAAGCUUGCUUUCUGGGGAAAACCUUGUUUUCAUUUAAAUUAACCAACUAAAUACUCAGGACUGUUCUUUCAGCCAAAAGCUGAAAGCUUCACCUUGGAAUUGCUCCCCUAUCCCCAUGUGAGUUAUAGCUCAAGUGUCUAAUUGUGCUAUGUUAGGACUUGCUCCCUCUAACAAGACUGCAGCUUCAAGGAGACAAUCAACAAGACAGGAGAUUGACAUACAUGGUCAAAAACCACUCCUACACCAUGACAGCUCACAAGUCAGGGUGACAUUUUCUAGACUUGAACUUUCAGAGUUCUUAGGGAAUAGCUGGAAACGUGACUUCCUUACAUGUCCCAAGAUUCAACACACUUUCUGUAGCAUUAAAUUUCCAAGAGCUGUGAAGAAAAGAAUGACAGUCAAGUUCUCUCACUCCUUAGAAACUACUAUUAUGCAUACAUCUGAACAUGGAAACUACAUAAAGUCUGGAUGUGGUAGGUCUUUGGCACAUGGUUAUACAGGACCCAUUGUCUUCUAGAACUGUCAGCUGACAGUUAAAUCAUUUUAUACUUGGUGUCUGUAAAUUUGUCUGUGUAUAACAAUCAGAAUUUAUAUAGCCCCUAACAAUACUGUUAAAUAUAACAGUAUAACAAUAUAACAUAACAAUAAAAUAAAUAACUAAAAGAAAGUUCAUCUACAAAAUGCCCAUCAGCAUAGAUUAAUAAACAGCCUUAUCUCCACUUACACCCUUGCACUCUUUCCCAUUCAACAUAUGGUUUCAUUUUGAAAGAGGAGACUUACAGUAAACUAUCAUCAGUAGACUGAUAAACGCUAUAUUCAUAACAGUACAUCUGUUCAAUGAAGAUUUCUCACGCCUACUGAAUGCUUAAUGGCUUUCUAGAAUACUAACUUCAUUUAUCCAUUUUGACAUUGAGUAAUACAUACAGGAAGAGAAAUAGUGAUUCUUACUCAUUCCCCUAGGAAUUUUAGCUUUUCAUUUAUUUUAUAAGUACAUGCUGGUGUUCAGAUACCUAACGGAGAUACUAAGCUCACAAUACUUUGUACUUAAGAGGCAAAUUGGAUCUUAAUUCCAUCUCCUGAAAGCACACACGGAAGAAAUUAUCACUAUUCAGAAUUUCACCCAAAGCAGCUGGUAACUGUUCUACAGUUCUCAACAAAGUACAAAGUUAACUACCAACCCAGUUAAAUAUAAUUCUAAUCAGUCAGAAGUUCAGUGUCUCAAAUACAACACAGGGAAUGGACAAAUGUUGCUAACAAUAUUAUGUAUUACACUGUAGUUGGAAGAUAUUCCUAUAAAAAGACUGUGAGAAAGCCUAGCGUGGAAAUGGUCUCAAAUAUGUCUAUUGGAGAAUAUGUUUAUGAGUCUGCAGGAAAAAAACUGCUCAGUAUGUAGAGCUGAUCCCACAGCUCCUGCUCAAUGUGUUAACUCAAAGCUACAGUUCAGUUUCAAACCUGGUGCUACUGAAAAGAUAACGCUCCAGAAAACAAUCUAAUCUUCAGCCAAAUAAAAUCUGUUGGCAACCAGGUUUUGUCUGCCAUAUGAAAACCAACUUGAGUAGCAGUUCCUCAUCAAAGAAAGCAAAUUGGCCUACAGUGUGAACUUCUGAAAUACACAUCUCCUCGAAUGACCAAUAGUGGAGAUCAGCAAUGAACACUGACCUUGAAAUCUGCAGGGAAAAGGUAAACAACCUGCAGUGAUGCAGAGGUCAAGUUCACCCUCUUAAUGUUAAUGUUUUCAGCCAGCUAAUGACUUACAAAGCUGACAAAGUUGAUUUACAUUUCCAUGAUGGCAGUUUUAGGACUCCUUUGGCCACUGACAGCUGGAUUCUGGCUCUUCACUCCAUGUAAACCCAAACUUCUCUCUUGAAGUGUAGCCAGUAGAUUAGAUGUCCGAAGAAGCAGGAUCCAUCUUGUCAUAGUAAUUUCUUGCAAUAAUAGUAUCUUUAGCUGACCAACAUUUAAGCUCUCCCACAGUUGUUAUGUCCUGCUUAGUUGGUGCCUAUUUAAUCUAUUCAACCUACAAUCUGUGCAAUGUUUUUGACCGUAAAAGUGAAGGAUUUACCAUCUUUGUGCAAAUAGUCAUCCUAAUGGCCUCAGCACAUAUUUUAAGAAGGUUAAGUAAUCCCACUGAGACUAAUGUAUAUUUUCAUAUGCUGGAACUAUGUUCUACAUAUUUUAUAAAAACAAGGCUAUAUAUGCAUGUAGCCUUUCAGGCCUAAUAUCACAGUUUUACUGUAAGACCGUGCCAGGAAAAACAGAAGAUAAACAUUCUGAUCCUUGACAUAUUGCUAUAUUUCAAUGUCUUACCUGUCCUACCUGGCUGGUAAGAUAGGUCUUACCCCAGCAGGGUAUAAAGCUCACUGGUUUCCAUAAAAUAUGUUUGCUUAAAAUCUGAAUGAUGCUCCCUGAAAGUUUCACAAAGCAAAAUGGGUGGUUUUUUUCAUACUGUUGUAUUUCAUCAUCACUUUUUCUUAUGGUUACCUUCAACACUGUUCUCUAAAUAAAGUCUGAUGUCACCUGAAUCAUGUUUUCACACACUGCUUUCAGUUGAGAGGUAUGUUUUUAUUAUUUUGUUUUGUCCUUGUCCUUUAGUUUGUCCCUAAUUAAGCAGAAGUUCUGAGACUAUCGCUUAUUUCCCACAUUACAUCAUAGCAGGCGCCAUCUUUUCUCUGCAUAUAUGGGAUGAUUAUGUCAACAAAAUCCUAAUAUAUUUCUGAAGUAUUAGUAGCUAAUUCAAAACUUUUUUUUUUUUUU